UACGGAGGGUGCAAGCGUUGUUCGGAAUUACUGGGCGUAAAGGGCGCGUAGGUGGUUGUGUGUGUCAGAUGUGAAAUCCCGAGGCUCAACCUCGGAACUGCAUCUGAAACUGCAUGACUCGAGUACAGCAGAGGGAAACGGAAUUCCUGGUGUAGAGGUGAAAUUCGUAGAUAUCAGGAGGAACACCGGUGGCGAAGGCGGUUUCCUGGGCUGAUACUGACACUGAGGCGCGAAAGCGUGGGGAGCAAAC
rnacentral:rRNA from 1 species